rnacentral:rRNA from 1 species
GAUGAACGCUGGCGGCGUGCCUAAUACAUGCAAGUCGAGCGAACGGACGAGAAGCUUGCUUCUCUGAUGUCAGCGGCGGACGGGUGAGUAACACGUGGAUAACCUACCUAUAAGACUGGGAUAACUUCGGGAAACCGGAGCUAAUACCGGAUAAUAUUUUGAACCGCAUGGUUCAAAAGUGAAAGACGGUCUUGCUGUCACUUAUAGAUGGAUCCGCGCUGCAUUAGCUAGUUGGUAAGGUAACGGCUUACCAAGGCAACGAUGCAUAGCCGACCUGAGAGGGUGAUCGGCCACACUGGAACUGAGACACGGUCCAGACUCCUACGGGAGGCAGCAGUAGGGAAUCUUCCGCAAUGGGCGAAAGCCUGACGGAGCAACGCCGCGUGAGUGAUGAAGGUCUUCGGAUCGUAAAACUCUGUUAUUAGGGAAGAACAUAUGUGUAAGUAACUGUGCACAUCUUGACGGUACCUAAUCAGAAAGCCACGGCUAACUACGUGCCAGCAGCCGCGGUAAUACGUAGGUGGCAAGCGUUAUCCGGAAUUAUUGGGCGUAAAGCGCGCGUAGGCGGUUUUUUAAGUCUGAUGUGAAAGCCCACGGCUCAACCGUGGAGGGUCAUUGGAAACUGGAAAACUUGAGUGCAGAAGAGGAAAGUGGAAUUCCAUGUGUAGCGGUGAAAUGCGCAGAGAUAUGGAGGAACACCAGUGGCGAAGGCGACUUUCUGGUCUGUAACUGACGCUGAUGUGCGAAAGCGUGGGGAUCAAACAGGAUUAGAUACCCUGGUAGUCCACGCCGUAAACGAUGAGUGCUAAGUGUUAGGGGGUUUCCGCCCCUUAGUGCUGCAGCUAACGCAUUAAGCACUCCGCCUGGGGAGUACGACCGCAAGGUUGAAACUCAAAGGAAUUGACGGGGACCCGCACAAGCGGUGGAGCAUGUGGUUUAAUUCGAAGCAACGCGAAGAACCUUACCAAAUCUUGACAUCCUUUGACAACUCUAGAGAUAGAGCUUUCCCCUUCGGGGGACAAAGUGACAGGUGGUGCAUGGUUGUCGUCAGCUCGUGUCGUGAGAUGUUGGGUUAAGUCCCGCAACGAGCGCAACCCUUAAGCUUAGUUGCCAUCAUUAAGUUGGGCACUCUAAGUUGACUGCCGGUGACAAACCGGAGGAAGGUGGGGAUGACGUCAAAUCAUCAUGCCCCUUAUGAUUUGGGCUACACACGUGCUACAAUGGACAAUACAAAGGGCAGCGAAACCGUGAGGUCAAGCAAAUCCCAUAAAGUUGUUCUCAGUUCGGAUUGUAGUCUGCAACUCGACUACAUGAAGCUGGAAUCGCUAGUAAUCGUAGAUCAGCAUGCUACGGUGAAUACGUUCCCGGGUCU